AGAGAAGAGAAGAGAAGAGCUAGCAUGAGAAUGAACUAAACCUAACCUUAAUAAUCUAACUGGACCUUUUCAUGGCUCAAGGUGCGGAAGCAGUGAAGGGUUGCAAGAGUUGCGUGGUUUGCUUCUAACUGAGCGGGAGACUUGAGGAGAUAGUCGUCCAGGCAGGUGUUUGGAUGCCUAAGGAUUGGAGUGUGGCACGGGAGUCCUUCAUGGAGUGAAGGACCUCUUUGGGUUGUAGAGGCAAAGAGCUUGUCUCUAUCGAAAGGGAGAUCUUUGAC